AUUGAACGCUGGCGGCAGGCCUAACACAUGCCAGUCGAGCGGAUGAAGGGAGCUUGCUCCUGGAUUCAGCGGCGGACGGGUGAGUAAUGCCUAGGAAUCUGCCUGGUAGUGGGGGAUAACGUCCGGAAACGGGCGCUAAUACCGCAUACGUCCUGAGGGAGAAAGUGGGGGAUCUUCGGACCUCACGCUAUCAGAUGAGCCUAGGUCGGAUUAGCUAGUUGGUGGGGUAAAGGCCUACCAAGGCGACGAUCCGUAACUGGUCUGAGAGGAUGAUCAGUCACACUGGAACUGAGACACGGUCCAGACUCCUACGGGAGGCAGCAGUGGGGAAUAUUGGACAAUGGGCGAAAGCCUGAUCCAGCAAUGCCGCGUGUGUGAAGAAGGUCUUCGGAUUGUAAAGCACUUUAAGUUGGGAGGAAGGGCAGUAAGUUAAUACCUUGCUGUUUUGACGUUACCAACAGAAUAAGCACCGGCUAACUUCGUG
rnacentral:rRNA from 1 species